rnacentral:siRNA from 1 species
CACCUAGUGUCGGAACUCACGAG